UACGGAGGGUGCGAGCGUUGUCCGGAAUCACUGGGCGUAAAGGGCGCGUAGGCGGCCUGAUAAGUAGGGGGUGAAAUCCUGCGGCUUAACCGCAGGGCUGCCUUCUAAACUGUCGGGCUCGAGCACAGUAGAGGCAGGUGGAAUUCCCGGUGUAGCGGUGGAAUGCGUAGAGAUCGGGAAGAACAUCAGUGGCGAAGGCGGCUUACUGGUCCGGUUCUGACGCUGAGGUGCGAAAGGCGUGGGGAGCAAACAGG
rnacentral:rRNA from 1 species